rnacentral:lncRNA from 1 species
GCAUAGUGGCAUUGCCUUCUCUCUCACCCUACUCUAAUAAGGUUUUGAUAUCUGGAGCUCAUAGGUGGGAGACAGCUAAUACAUACUUAUGAGACAUUUAUUGCAUAGUCAAACCAUGGAUCCAAAAGAACAAGUCAAUAAGUCAAAUCAAGAUGUGCAUGUGUGGAGAAUGAAUGGUGAUAAUGGUGAAAAUAAUGGUGAAAGUCUAAUUGUACUUUUGCUCUUUUGAGGGGGUACAUACCUUCCUUUCACUUGAGGCUUUUGAGGGGAAUGAGAUGCUCCCUAUUUUAUUUUUCUUUUAUCUCAGGUGGGUAUCUUGUACCCCUAUUUCUACUGUCAGACACUUGUCCAUUUUUACCUCUCGUCUCACUUUUUUCUCUUUUUUUCGAGGUUUCGGGCACUUGCCCCUUUUUAUUUCCUCGUAUUCAUUUUGUUCAGAGCACUCACCCUCCUAGAAUAAUGUAGCAAGUGGUAGUAACCAAAAUAUCUUGAGCAUUUAUUUCACGGGGAAUAACAGGGAUAGGAUAAUAUUUUUGGCUAUUCUCUCCUAGAUAGGAGUAGAAUAAUUUUAGGUGAAUCUAGAUAUGGAAAUGAGUGGAUGUAUGUGGAUGCGUACUUCCGGAGUAGAAGCAGCAUGUAUGAGUGAACAUGCAAGUGAAUCUUGAUUUUAACCGCAUGACAAGCUCCUAAGGGUCUACACAGCUUGACCACACUCAAUGUUCAUAAGCAGUA